GAUGAACGCUGGCGGUAUGCUUAACACAUGCAAGUCGAACGGUCACUUCGGUGAUAGUGGCGGACGGGUGAGUAACGCGUGAGAAUCUGUCUUCAGGUCGGGGACAACAGUUAGAAAUGACUGCUAAUACCGGAUGUGCCUUUGGGUGAAAGAUUUAUUGCCUGAAAAAGAGCUCGCGUCAGAUUAGCUAGUAGGUGGUGUAAGAGACUACCUAGGCUCCGAUCUGUAGCUGGUCUGAGAGGACGAUCAGCCACACUGGAACUGAGACACGGUCCAGACUCCUACGGGAGGCAGCAGUGGGGAAUUUUCCGCAAUGGGCGAAAGCCUGACGGAGCAAUACCGCGUGAGGGACGAAGGCUUUUGGGUCGUAAACCUCUUUUCUCAAGGAAGAUGAUGACGGUACCUGAGGAAUAAGCAUCGGCUAACUCUGUG
rnacentral:rRNA from 1 species